rnacentral:rRNA from 1 species
AGCGAGAAAGCCUUCGGGUGAGUAUAGCGGCGGACGGGUGAGUAAUGCGUGGGAAUCUGCCUGGUAGUGGGGGACAACAGUUGGAAACGACUGCUAAUACCGCAUACGCCCUACGGGGGAAAGCGGGGGAUCUUCGGACCUCGUGCUAUCAGAUGAGCCCACGUCAGAUUAGCUAGUUGGUGGGGUAAAGGCCUACCAAGGCGACGAUCUGUAGCUGGUCUGAGAGGAUGAUCAGCCACACUGGGACUGAGACACGGCCCAGACUCCUACGGGAGGCAGCAGUGGGGAAUAUUGCACAAUGGGCGCAAGCCUGAUGCAGCCAUGCCGCGUGUGUGAAGAAGGCCCUAGGGUUGUAAAGCACUUUAAGCAGUGAGGAAAGGGUGUAAAUUAAUACUUUGCAUCUGUGACGUUAACUGCAGAAUAAGCACCGGCUAACUCCGUGCCAGCAGCCGCGGUAAUACGGAGGGUGCGAGCGUUAAUCGGAAUUACUGGGCGUAAAGCGCACGUAGGCGGCUUUUUAAGCGAGGUGUGAAAGCCCCGGGCUCAACCUGGGAACUGCACUUCGAACUGGAAAGCUAGAGUAUGGUAGAGGAUAGUGGAAUUUCAGGUGUAGCGGUGAAAUGCGUAGAGAUCUGAAGGAACA